CCAAAGACUGCAGACAGGUCAAGGAAAGGAAACCAAUUUUCCUCAAUCCUAAGCUGCAUAUAAACAAUCCAGAGCAGAGUUCUACCUUGGACCAGACCAAACAGAGCAGUGUUUCCCAAUCCAGCCUUUCUCAAAGUAUUCCCGAACACGGGUGGCUCAAUCUCCAUGUAUCAGCUGAUCAGUGUCCUGAGCCAUGUUGGAACCUCAACUGAAUACGGACAUUUUGUGAGUGAUUGUUCCAGUCACAGACCUCACCAAUGGAUUACAUACAAUGACUUGGACGUCACUCAGACCACUGAGGAGGACGUCUUAAAGAAGAGGUCGUCUGACGCCUAUGUGCUCCUCUACGAGAGAGUGAGCACUGGCUGAAGUCAGAAGGCUGCAAGUUGAUGUGGCUAGGUUUGGAAGGAUAUUGGGGCAAGUGAGAGAUUGUGGCAACAUGCAGGAGUGUUGCAGAUCCUUUCCUUUAAAGGAAGUGAUCCCAAACUCUAGUCCUCCUUCAUGAAGUGCUCUAGAGUGGUGAAUCUGUGCUGAAGGUAUGUAGCCAGCAUCUGAAAUACAGGUGAAAUGGCAUCACCUUCUCACAAAAGGUGAAAGAACGGCACAUCUUGGUGAUAAGUUCGCCACGCAUGCUCUGUGGGCCGAAUGAUUCUGGAGACACCUUGUGCCUGGGUUUCUGGCUGAGGUUGAUCCAUGGACAUUGUAGAAUUGUAACUGAAAUAGAAAUUUCUGUUGUAACUCCCUGAUAUUCAAAAUGGACAUAUUAUAUAUAAAAAACCCUGAGUACAAUCUAUAUAUAGUACAUGACCGAGAAAAAGUAAUUUAUAAUGUCACGAUCCGGUGUCACCCAGAAGAGCAUGGGUUCCCUUUUGAGCCUGGUUCCUCUCAAGGUUUCUUCCUCUCGUCACCUGAGGGAGUUUUUCCUUGCCAAUGUCGCCUCGGGCUUGCUCAUUAGGGAUUUAAAUCUACAUCCGGAUUUAUGUGACUUUGCUAUGGCAUGUAUGCACAUGCACAGUACUCUACUCAAUCCUUAAAGAAGAUUUCAUCUCUCAAAUAUCUACUGGUCCAGCAGCUUUAAGUAAAUUGUGUUUUCGUAAAGUUUUGUGUCUGCAACUAUAAAAUUAAUUUAAUUAUGAAAAAUGUUUUAAUAAGUUGUGUUUUCAUAAAGCUUUGUGUCUACAGCUUUCAAUUAAUGACAUU